GAUGAACGCUGGCGGCGUGCCUAAUACAUGCAAGUCGAACGAAACUUCUUUAUCACCGAGUGCUUGCACUCACCGAUAAAGAGUUGAGUGGCGAACGGGUGAGUAACACGUGGGCAACCUGCCCAAAAGAGGGGGAUAACACUUGGAAACAGGUGCUAAUACCGCAUAACCAUAGUUACCGCAUGGUAACUAUGUAAAAGGUGGCUAUGCUACCGCUUUUGGAUGGGCCCGCGGCGCAUUAGCUAGUUGGUGGGGUAAAGGCUUACCAAGGCAAUGAUGCGUAGCCGAACUGAGAGGUUGAUCGGCCACAUUGGGACUGAGACACGGCCCAAACUCCUACGGGAGGCAGCAGUAGGGAAUCUUCCACAAUGGGCGAAAGCCUGAUGGAGCAACGCCGCGUGGGUGAAGAAGGUCUUCGGAUCGUAAAACCCUGUUGUUAGAGAAGAAAGUGCGUGAGAGUAACUGUUCACGUUUCGACGGUAUCUAACCAGAAAGCCACGGCUAACUACGUGCCAGCAGCCGCGGUAAUACGUAGGUGGCAAGCGUUAUCCGGAUUUAUUGGGCGUAAAGGGAACGCAGGCGGUCUUUUAAGUCUGAUGUGAAAGCCUUCGGCUUAACCGGAGUAGUGCAUUGGAAACUGGGAGACUUGAGUGCAGAAGAGGAGAGUGGAACUCCAUGUGUAGCGGUGAAAUGCGUAGAUAUAUGGAAGAACACCAGUGGCGAAAGCGGCUCUCUGGUCUGUAACUGACGCUGAGGUUCGAAAGCGUGGGUAGCAAAUCAGAAUUAGAUACCCUGGUAGUCCACGCCGUAAACGAAUGAAUGUUAAGUGUUGGAGGGUUUCCGCCCCUUCAGUGCUGCAGCUAACGCAAUAAGCAUUCCGCCUGGGGAGUACGACCGCAAGGGUUGAAACUCAAAGGAAUUGACGGGGGCCCGCACAAGCGGUGGAGCAUGUGGUUUAAUUCGAAGCAACGCGAAGAACCUUACCAGGUCUUGACAUCUUUUGACAAUCCUAGAGAUAGGACUUUCCCUUCGGGGACAAAAUGACAGGUGGUGCAUGGUUGUCGUCAGCUCGUGUCGUGAGAUGUUGGGUUAAGUCCCGCAACGAGCGCAACCCUUAUUGUUAGUUGCCAGCAUUAAGUUGGGCACUCUAGCAAGACUGCCGGUGACAAACCGGAGGAAGGUGGGGAUGACGUCAAAUCAUCAUGCCCCUUAUGACCUGGGCUACACACGUGCUACAAUGGACGGUACAACGAGUCGCAAGACCGCGAGGUUUAGCAAAUCUCUUAAAGCCGUUCUCAGUUCGGAUUGUAGGCUGCAACUCGCCUACAUGAAGUCGGAAUCGCUAGUAAUCGCGGAUCAGCAUGCCGCGGUGAAUACGUUCCCGGGCCUUGUACACACCGCCCGUCACACCAUGAGAGUUUGUAACACCCAAAGCCGGUGGGGUAACCUUUUGGAGCCAGCCGUCUAAGGUGGGACAGAUGAUUAGGGUGA
rnacentral:rRNA from 1 species